rnacentral:misc_RNA from 1 species
UGUCUGCCGGUAGGCCCCCCGUCUUUGUGCGGCCGACUACUGGCGCCGUGUCCCGUCAUUCGUGUGGCUUAUGUUNNNNNAAAGGAUAAUGGCCCUUUUGGUUGCCUUUACCCGACCCUUCAGAAGCUCUCCGAAUUUUGAGAACAACCGUGAACAGGUGUGGCCUCUACCUCUCCACAGUUAGUGGUAGGAUUACGCAACAUUCUGCGCCGAUCCUCAAAGUAGUAGGAUGAGCUUGGCCCGCUCAAUUGUGACAACCGACYCGGGCGUUGUUUCGCCCUGCGACGCAAGUUGCGGGGUGGACGACAACCGACCGCSAGGACGU